GCCAGGCAUGGUGGCACACGCCUGUAUUGCCGGUUGUUUGGGAGGCUGAGGCUGGAGGAUCACUUGAGCGUAGGAGUUCUGGGCUGUAGUGCGCCAUGCUGAUUGGGUGUUGCAUUAAACGCAACACUGAUGUGGUAACCUCUUGGGAGCCAGGGACCACUGUGUUGCCUAAGGAGGGGUGAACCAGCCAAGUUGGAGCAGGUCAAAACUCCUGUGUUGAUCCGUGUGGGAUUGUGCCUGUGAAUAGCCACUGCACUGUCUAGCCUGGGCAAUAUAGCAAGAUCUUGCCU
rnacentral:SRP_RNA from 10 species